rnacentral:rRNA from 1 species
UACAGAGGUCUCAAGCGUUGUUCGGAUUCAUUGGGCGUAAAGGGUGCGUAGGCGGCGCGGUAAGUCGGGUGUGAAAUCUCGGAGCUUAACUCCGAAACUGCAUUCGAUACUGCCGUGCUUGAGGACUGGAGAGGAGACUGGAAUUUACGGUGUAGCGGUGAAAUGCGUAGAUAUCGUAAGGAAGACCAGUGGCGAAGGCGGGUCUCUGGACAGUUCCUGACGCUGAGGCACGAAGGUCAAGGGAGCAAACGGG